rnacentral:rRNA from 1 species
UACGUAGGGGGCAAGCGUUGUCCGGAAUCAUUGGGCGUAAAGCGCGUGUAGGCGGCUAGAUAAGUCUGCUUUGAAAGCCCGGGGCUCAACCCCGGGAGGCGGGUGGAUACUGUCUAGCUCGAGUCCGGAAGAGGAGUGUGGAAUUCCUGGUGUAGCGGUGAAAUGCGCAGAUAUCAGGAGGAACACCAAUGGCGAAGGCAGCACUCUGGGACGUGACUGACGCUGAGACGCGAAAGCGUGGGGAGCAAACAGG